CUCCCCUAAGUACUCUCAUCAAGUAAAAUAAAUCUGUUUGUCAGCAUUAUAUCUGUUAUGUCCUGUAUCACAGAACUAGAACAUUAAACUCAUUUUUGGCUCAUGAAGGAGUGCUAAGAGCAUGCUCUGUCUCUGUCACAGGAUGCUUUCUAACUUUCGAACUCUCUUAAAAUAACCAAACACUU